rnacentral:rRNA from 1 species
UACGUAGGGUGCAAGCGUUAAUCGGAAUUACUGGGCGUAAAGCGUGCGCAGGCGGUUUUGUAAGUCGGGUGUGAAAGCCCCGGGCUCAACCUGGGAAUUGCAUUUGAGACUGAAUAGCUAGGGUGCGGAAGAGGGAAGCGGAAUUUCCGGUGUAGCGGUGAAAUGCGUAGAUAUCGGAAGGAACACCAGUGGCGAAAGCGGCUUCCUGGUCCAGCACCGACGUCAGGCACGAAAGCGUGGGGAGCAAACAGG